rnacentral:rRNA from 1 species
CAGUCGAACGCGUUGGCCCAAUUGAUUGAUGGUGCUUGCACCUGAUUGAUUUUGGUCGCCAACGAGUGGCGGACGGGUGAGUAACACGUAGGUAACCUGCCCAGAAGCGGGGGACAACAUUUGGAAACAGAUGCUAAUACCGCAUAACAGCGUUGUUCGCAUGAACAACGCUUAAAAGAUGGCUUCUCGCUAUCACUUCUGGAUGGACCUGCGGUGCAUUAGCUUGUUGGUGGGGUAAUGGCCUACCAAGGCGAUGAUGCAUAGCCGAGUUGAGAGACUGAUCGGCCACAAUGGGACUGAGACACGGCCCAUACUCCUACGGGAGGCAGCAGUAGGGAAUCUUCCACAAUGGGCGCAAGCCUGAUGGAGCAACACCGCGUGAGUGAAGAAGGGUUUCGGCUCGUAAAGCUCUGUUGUUAAAGAAGAACACGUAUGAGAGUAACUGUUCAUACGUUGACGGUAUUUAACCAGAAAGUCACGGCUAACUACGUGCCAGCAGCCGCGGUAAUACGUAGGUGGCAAGCGUUAUCCGGAUUUAUUGGGCGUAAAGAGAGUGCAGGCGGUUUUCUAAGUCUGAUGUGAAAGCCUUCGGCUUAACCGGAGAAGUGCAUCGGAAACUGGAUAACUUGAGUGCAGAAGAGGGUAGUGGAACUCCAUGUGUAGCGGUGGAAUGCGUAGAUAUAUGGAAGAACACCAGUGGCGAAGGCGGCUACCUGGUCUGCAACUGACGCUGAGACUCGAAAGCAUGGGUAGCGAACAGGAUUAGAUACCCUGGUAGUCCAUGCCGUAAACGAUGAGUGCUAGGUGUUGGAGGGUUUCCGCCCUUCAGUGCCGGAGCUAACGCAUUAAGCACUCCGCCUGGGGAGUACGACCGCAAGGUUGAAACUCAAAGGAAUUGACGGGGGCCCGCACAAGCGGUGGAGCAUGUGGUUUAAUUCGAAGCUACGCGAAGAACCUUACCAGGUCUUGACAUCUUGCGCCAACCCUAGAGAUAGGGCGUUUCCUUCGGGAACGCAAUGACAGGUGGUGCAUGGUCGUCGUCAGCUCGUGUCGUGAGAUGUUGGGUUAAGUCCCGCAACGAGCGCAACCCUUGUUACUAGUUGCCAGCAUUAAGUUGGGCACUCUAGUGAGACUGCCGGUGACAAACCGGAGGAAGGUGGGGACGACGUCAGAUCAUCAUGCCCCUUAUGACCUGGGCUACACACGUGCUACAAUGGACGGUACAACGAGUCGCGAACUCGCGAGGGCAAGCAAAUCUCUUAAAACCGUUCUCAGUUCGGACUGCAGGCUGCAACUCGCCUGCACGAAGUCGGAAUCGCUAGUAAUCGCGGAUCAGCAUGCCGCGGUGAAUACGUUCCCGGGCCUUGUACACACCG